UUCGAAUCAUUGCACGUAGUAUUGAAGAUUUUCCGAACGUGCAAAGAAACGACAUGUCAAACAUAGUGAAAUUAGCUCUCCUUACUCUAAUAGCACUGAUUGGAUUAGCGGUGGGACAACUGUCCGAAGGCUCAGUGCCAAAACCUACCUUUCCGGAUUAUGUGAUUUACGUAGAAGCCUGUGAAACCUAUGGUGCCGGAAAGUGUGGACACCCUACUUCAGACGAACCGACUGAACCAAUGCCACGAUCGUCCCAACAAAUUGAUACAAACGUGCAAAGUGUUCUACAAAACUUAUAACAAAGUGACAUCCGAAUAAUGUCAAAUCUCAAUGGAAGGAAAUUAAAGUUUUGAGCAAAGUUAUAUUCUGAAAA